rnacentral:tRNA from 1 species
GGUGUGGCUCAGCGGCAGAGCAUUCUUCUAGCAUAUGGCAGGACUGGGUUCAACUCCCAGCACC